ACGCUCGACACCUACGGGAGCAGCAGUUAGGAAUAUUGGGCAAUGGAGGAAACUCUGACCCAGCAACGCCGCGUGAAGGAAGAAGGUUUUCGGAUUGUAAACUUCUGAUCUAGGGGAAGAAGGAAGUGACGGUACCCUAGGAGAAAGCCACGGCUAACUACGUGCCAGCAGCCNCGGUAAUCUGAGCGGGCUGGCAAGGC
rnacentral:rRNA from 1 species